rnacentral:misc_RNA from 1 species
AAGUCGUAACAAGGUUUCCGUAGGUGAACCUGCGGAAGGAUCAUUAACACGUUAUCCAACGUAACUACCUACGUGCACUGUUUUCCCCUCUCUCCCGCUUUCCUCCAUGUAUCGGCUACGUGUAUGUGAGACGUUUGGCUGGGCUUCAUCCUCGCGCUGUUGCUAUGCUCACACACCGACCUGCGCGCCUUUUUGGGCGAGCUCACGAUAGUAGGAGGCCGCGGCUUUCUCCGCUGCGCAAUGCUGUAAAUCUCCAACCAAGAUUAUGGGCGUGCGCGGCACCUUUACCAUACCACAAUUCUAACCCCCUUUUUGCUAGUUGACUUUUUAAUCUGUUGUGGCUCUUUCUUGAUUGAAAGGCUCGGCACGUUUGAUCUAUUUGAACGUUAAAAAAUACAACUCUUAGCAAUGGAUAUCUUGGUUCUC